rnacentral:rRNA from 1 species
UACGGGGGGAGCAAGCGUUGUUCGGAUUUACUGGGCGUAAAGGGCGCGUAGGCGGUCACGACAAGUCAGUUGUGAAAUCUCCGGGCUUAACCCGGAAACUGCAUUGAAUACUAUCUGGCUAGAGGGUUGGAGGGGGGACUGGAAUACUUGGUGUAGCAGUGAAAUGCGUAGAUAUCAAGUGGAACACCAGUGGCGAAGGCGAGUCCCUGGACAACUCCUGACACUGAGGCACGAAAGCUAGGGGAGCAAACAGG